UGAUCCCUACGGGACGCAGCAGUAGGGAAUCUUCCACAAUGGGCGAAAGCCUGAUGGAGCAACGCCGCGUGAGUGAAGAAGGUUUUCGGAUCGUAAAGCUCUGUUGUUGGUGAAGAAGGAUAGAGGUAGUAACUGUCCCCUAUUUGACGGUAAUCAACCAGAAAGUCACGGCUAACUACGUGCCAGCAGCCGCGGAAAUACGUAGGUGGCAAGCGUUGUCCGGAUUUAUUGGGCGUAAAGCGAGCGCAGGCGGAAAGAUAAGUCUGAUGUGAAAGCCCCCGGCUUAGCCGAGGAAUUGCAUCGGA
rnacentral:rRNA from 1 species